AUUCAGUUGAUGUGUCGUAAAUAGGACGAAACGUGGGUCCUGGAU
rfam:Schistosoma haematobium scaffold150_26, whole genome shotgun sequence.